rnacentral:rRNA from 1 species
UACAGAGGUCCCAAGCGUUGUUCGGAUUCAUUGGGCGUAAAGGGUGCGUAGGCGGCGCGGUAAGUCGGGUGUGAAAUCUCGGAGCUUAACUCCGAAACUGCAUUCGAUACUGCCGUGCUUGAGGACUGGAGAGGAGACUGGAAUUUACGGUGUAGCGGUGAAAUGCGUAGAUAUCGAGAGGAACACCAGUGGCGAAGGCGAGUCCCUGGACAACUCCUGACACUGAGGCACGAAAGCUAGGGGAGCAAACAGG